UGGGCAUUAAACGCCGCGGCCUCGAGGAUUCAGCAUCGGGUGCUUUCCGUUACGUUCCUGGCUUCCUCGCCUCUGCACACCGCUCCCCACUCUCCCAAGGAAGCGAAGCGAGCGCACGCGCCCCGCCCCUCCGGGGAGCCCCCGCCCGCCGCGCAGCCGAUGCCGACCCCGAAGCAGCGGCUCCCCUACUCCACCGCCGGCGGGGGCGGAGGGGGGAGGCGCGCCGCCUCCGGCUCCGGCGUGCUGCCCCCCGUGGUGGUCCUCGUGUUCCUCUUCGUGGUCGCGCCUUCGCUCUUCUUCGUCGUGCGCAAUGGAGGCCGCGGCCACGUCCACGUCGCCUCCGAUCCCAAGGUUAGGAAUGGCGAUCAGGAAGCAGUGGCAAUGGCGAAUCUAAAAUCUAUUUUGCCAAAGGAGGUGAUUGAUGCUAUAGCUGCUAAUCAACAAGAAGUAGGCACAUUGAGUCUCAACUUUUUUAGGAAUCAUGAAUCUCCCUCAUGGAAAACUGAUGAUCUAGUCACUGAAAAGGGCAUUUAUGUCAAUGACAAGGCUAAAGCUGAAAACAGUGCUGCAGAACAUGAUUUACCAACAAAUAAAUCACCCAAAGAUCCAGAUGAACAUCAAGUUGACACAGCAGUAAAAAUAGCUCGAAGGAAACUAAGGGAGAAGAGACGCGAGAAGAGAGCAAUGGAUUUGCUGCAUAAAGAUGAUGAAGCGCGUGUUAAGCUGGAGAAUGCCGCUAUUGAGCGAUCAAAGGCGGUCGAUUCUGCUGUGCUUGGAAAAUAUAGCAUAUGGAGGAAAGAGAAUGAGAAUGAGAAUUCAGACACUACAGUUAGGUUGAUAAGGGACCAAAUUAUUAUGGCUCGUGUCUAUUCUGCGCUUGCUAAGUCAAAGAACAAGAGUGGUCUAUUUCAAGAACUGCAGACCCGAAUCAAGGAAAGCCAGCGGGCUGUUGGAGAGGCUGCUGCUGAUGCUGACCUGCAUCACAGCGCUCCUGAGAAAAUCAGAGCAAUGGGUCAAGUUUUAUCAAAGGCUAGAGAAGAAGUGUAUGAUUGCAGAGCGAUAACUCAGAGACUAAGGGCUAUGCUUCAGUCAGCUGAUGAACAGGUCAGGAGCUUGAAGAAGCAGAGUACAUUUCUUAGCCAGUUGGCUGCAAAGACAAUUCCAAAUAGCAUUCACUGCUUGUCUUUGCGACUGACAAUUGAUUACUAUCUCCUCCCCCUGGAGAAACGGAAAUUCCCAAGGAGUGAGAAUUUAGAAAAUCCAAGUCUCUACCACUAUGCACUUUUCUCAGACAACGUCUUGGCAGCUUCUGUUGUUGUGAACUCGACCAUCAUGAAUGCCAAGGAACCAGAGAAACAUGUAUUCCAUCUUGUGACUGAUAAGUUAAACUUUGGAGCCAUGAACAUGUGGUUUCUGCUGAACCCCCCGGGCAAGGCCACCAUCCAUGUUGAGAAUGUGGAUGAAUUUAAGUGGUUGAACUCAUCGUACUGUCCUGUGCUGCGGCAACUUGAGUCUGCUUCCAUGAAAGAGUACUAUUUCAAAGCUGAUCGCCCCACCACUCUCUCAGCAGGUUCUUCAAACCUAAAGUAUCGGAACCCCAAGUACCUCUCUAUGCUGAACCACUUGAGGUUUUAUCUCCCGGAGGUCUAUCCAAAGUUGGAUAAGAUACUUUUCCUCGAUGAUGACAUAGUCGUGCAGAAAGAUUUGACAGGAUUGUGGGAUGUUGAUCUUGAUGGAAAGGUCAAUGGUGCUGUGGAGACCUGUGGGGAGAGUUUCCACCGUUUUGACAAGUACCUUAAUUUUUCAAAUCCACAUAUUGCUCGGAACUUUGAUCCAAAUGCAUGUGGCUGGGCUUAUGGGAUGAACAUCUUUGAUCUGAAGGAGUGGAAGAAGAAAGAUAUUACUGGGAUCUACCACAAAUGGCAAACCAUGAAUGAAGACAGAGUUCUUUGGAAGCUUGGGACACUUCCGCCUGGCCUCCUGACCUUCUACAAAUUGACGCAUCCCCUGGAUAAGUCCUGGCACGUUCUUGGAUUAGGAUACAACCCAAGCAUAGACCGUUCGGAGAUAGACGGUGCUGCUGUUGUUCAUUACAAUGGGAACAUGAAGCCAUGGUUGGAGCUGGCAAUGACCAAAUACCGACCAUACUGGACCAAGUAUAUCAAGUAUGAUCACCCUUAUCUCCGUGGAUGCAACUUGAGUGAGUAGAUAGACGUGAAGACUGAAGAAAAACUGACGGAGAGGAGCCAGCUGGACAGAAGUGUUUACUCCCAUGUCCUUGCGGUACCGUACUUUUGGAUCCAUUCGGUCUGUCCUGUGGUCAGUUUCUUUCACAACAUGGGAUGGCCCUUGGAGAAAUAAUGGGCAAGGUGAACAAAUUUCUCGCAAGUUGCAGCAUAAGCCUUGGCAUGUUAUGCUCAUCACCGGUCACCACGGCUGAAUAUGAGGUGCAGUAGAUCAGUGGGUCAUGAUAACUGAUAAGCGCAGUGGUCGUAGCCGGCGGCGUUGUACCAACCGAAGCAUGGACGCCGAUCUCUUUACUUUUAGACAGACAAUUGUCAGACCGUUCUCUUUCCCAUUAAACAACGCUUCCAGUCCAUUUUUCGUUUUUGCUUACACCCAGCCAGGAUAGUGAGAGUAAUUGCUAGUAAAAAUGUGAAGGGUCCAUUCUGCUUAAAGGGUGUGAUGGUAAGUGUGUGUGCGCGUGCCGUGUCUGCCAUUAUAUUACUCCAGGAGCAAUGCUUAUGAAAACGCUUUGACAAUUUUACUAUUCCA